AGCAGCAGCCGCGGGAAUACGUAGGUGGCAAGCGUUGUCCGGAAUUAUUGGGCGUAAAGCGCGCGCAGGCGGAUCAGUUAGUCUGUCUUUAAAGUUCGGGGCUUAACCCCGUGAUGGGAUGGAAACUGCCAAUCUAGAGUAUCGGAGAGGAAAGUGGAAUUCCUAGUGUAGCGGUGAAAUGCGUAGAUAUUAGGAAGAACACCAGUGGCGAAGGCGACUUUCUGGACGAAAACUGACGCUGAGGCGCGAAAGCCAGGGGAGCGAACGGGAUUAGAUACCCCCGUAGUCCCUGUCUCUUAUACA
rnacentral:rRNA from 1 species